GACGAACGCUGGCGGCGUGCUUAACACAUGCAAGUCGAACGAAGUGGCGGACGGGUGAGUAACGCCUAAUCAACCUGCCCUUCAGGGGGGGUCAACAGUUGGAAACGACUGCUAAUACCCCCUACUGAAGGAGGGGUUGGUGUCGGAAUAGCUAGUUGGAGGGGUAACGGCCCACCAAGGCGAUGAUCAGUAGCCGGGCCGGAGGGAUGAACGGCCACAUUUGGACUGAGGCACCGCCCAAGCUCCUAAGGGGAGCAGCAGUUGGGAAACUUCCCAAAUGGACGAAAGGCUGGCGGCGCAACGGCGCGGGAGAGGUGGCGGGCCUCGGGUUGUAAAGGUCUGUUAAGCGGGACGCGGUACCGGAAUAGAAAGCCACGGCUAACUACGUGCCAGCCGCCGCGGUAAUAC
rnacentral:rRNA from 1 species